GCACAGACAUGAGGGCACACAUUCAGCACCUGGGGUUGUUGCUGCUCUGGCUUACAGGUGCCAAAUGUGACAUUCAGAUGACCCAGUCUCCUGCUUCCCUGUCUGCAUCUCUGGGAGACAGUGUCACCAUCACAUGCAGGGCAAGUGAGAACAUUUACACUAAUUUAGCAUGGUAUCAACAGAAACCAGGGAAAUCUCCUAACCUUCUGAUCUAUAAUGCAAAGAGCUUGGCAGCUGGGGUCCCAUCGAGGUUUAGUGGGAGUGGAUCUGGUACACAGUAUUCUCUCAAAAUCAGCAGCCUGCAGGCUGAAGAUAUUGCAAUAUAUUAUUGUCAACAUUAUUAUGGUAUCCCUCCCACAGUGACUCAAGCCAUGACAUAA